rnacentral:lncRNA from 1 species
UCACCCUUCGUGCUUUAUCACUCUUCCUCACCAUAUGAAUAAUAUAAAUGUGCACGGCAUCACCCUUCGUGCUUUAUCUCUCUUUCCUCAACAUAUGCAUCAAUAUAAAUGUAAAUAUGCACAACAUCACCCUUCGUGCUUUAUCACUCUUCCUCACCAUAUGAAUAAUAUAAAUGUAAAUGUGCACGGCAUCACCCUUCGUGCUUUAUCACUCUUCCUCACCAUAUGAAUAAUAUAAAUGUACACGACAUCACCCUUCGUGUUUUAUCACUCUUUCCUCACCCAAACAGUAGAAACAACAACAUCCCCGUAAGAGAAUCAACAAUAGAAAUAAUAACACCCCGGCAAGGGAAUCAACAAUAGAAACAAUCUUGUUUUAAUAGUUAGCUUCGCAAUAUAGAUCUCAACUUGACUCAAUACUCAACAAUGGUCAAUUACCCAGAGAAUAUCAUCAGUCUUAUUCAACAUGAAUAAUUCAUCAAUUUAAGCAUAAAUAGUACAUAAUAAGGAUCAUGGAAAAGCCAAGAAACACAAUAACCUUAACAAAAAUAACAAGACAUAAUGAGCACGUAAUAACUAUAUCGAUAAUCACAACAAUUGGACAUGUAACAUAUUUGCACGAAGUCAUAGAGGAAUUCACAAUCAAGAAGUAUCAAAACAAUAAGGAAGACAAUCACUUCAAUUAAGGCAAAUAAGGGUCAAGUAACAAGUAAGAGUUGGAGGAGAGCUAACAACAUCGUAUGGAGCAUAAAGAGGUAAAACAGUCAAUUAGGAAACCCAAUCAUAUAGAAAACUUCCCACUUAAUGCACAUAAGGACCUAAGAACCCUAAAGGCAAAUUUCCCACAAGUAAGUCUGAACACAUACUCGUCACCUCGCGUGCACGGACAACAAAUAGCAUAGAAGACUCAACUCCUAAGGGGAAGUCCUCCCCCCACAAGGUUAGGCAAGAUACUUACCUCAAUCCGGCCAAUUCAAUACUCAAUUUAGCUUUUUCCUUUACCAAUUCAUCAACGCUCGGCUCAAUCUAGCGAAAAACGACUUGAAUAUAUCAAACAAUUUUAAUUGACAAAACUAUGAUUCUUAUACAAUUUGCAAAAAGUCAACAAAAGUCAACUCUCCGGGCCCGCACCUCGGAACCCGACAAAAUUUACAAAAACCGAACACCCAUUCCGCUACGAGUUCACCCAUACAAAAAUUGUCUAAUUCCGAUACAAAUUGGUCAUUCAAAUCAUCAUUUUACAUUUUUGAAAGAUUUCACAAUUUUCCCCAAAUUUUCCUUUAGAUUCUCAUGAAUUUGAUGUUAAAUCUAAGAUAUAAUCAUAAAAUAUAGUUGAAAAUUAAUUAUAGGUACUUACCCAAUAAUUUGGAGAAGUUUGGGUCUUUGGAAAAUCACUUAUGGAGGUUUAGGGUUUGAGAAAAUUGAAAAAUGGGUGAAAAUCCCUUAAAAAAUUUCACUUAACAAGCCUCAAAUGUCGCAUUUGCGACCCAGGGUUCGCAAUUUGCGAACAAGGCAGGGCUGGCAGAAGUCGCAUUUACGAUAAAAAGUUUGCAUUUGCGAACUGGGCAUCGCAAUUGCGAUGAAAAAGUUCGCAUUUGCGACUACACCAGAAACCAACAAUUAUUCCCGACAUGAAAAUGAGCAUAACUUCCUCAUACAAUGUCUAAAUUCGAUGAUUCUUUUUCCUAUGGCUCCAAAAUUUUGAUACGGAUCUAAUGGUUCAAUAAAAAUUGAAUUUGGAUCUCAUUUUCUCAAUAUGAUAUCAUUUUUGCUUGAAGAAACGAUGAUGAAGCAUCCAAAAGCAAGCGCAACAUAGCCUAAACCUAUCCGAAACUCACACAAGCCCUCGGGACUCCAAACCAAACAUGCACGCAGCUCUAAAAAUGUUAUACGGACUUUCUCAUGUGAUCAAAUUAUCNNNNNNNNNNNNNNNNNNNNNNNNNNNNNNNNNNNNNNNNNNNNNNNNNNNNNNNNNNNNNNNNNNNNNNNNNNNNNNNNNNNNNNNNNNNNNNNNNNNNNNNNNNNNNNNNNGUCCAAAUCACGUCAAAUAAAUUCUGAUUCUCAACAAAUUUCACAGAUAGGACUUAAAUAUCAUAACAAACUUGUACCAGGCUCCAAAACCAAAAUAUGGGCCCGAUUCCAACGAGUUCAAACAUUAAUUCAUUUCUUUAUUUCAUUUAAAAACCAGCACAAUAAUUUUCUUCAAAAUUUAUUUUCUGAGGCUAGGGACCUCGGAAUUCAAUUUUGGCAUACGUCCAAGUCCCAUAUUUUACCGCGGACCUCCUGGGAUCGUCGGAACAUAGAUCCGGGUUCGUUUACUAAAAAUAUUGAACAAAGUCAAUUAAAAACCAAAUUUUAACUCUAGAAAUUACUAUAUUUUUCAUAUUUUCACAUAAAAGCUUUCUGGUUUCACUCCCGAACUGCGCAUGCAAGUCGAUACACAUAAUAUGAAGCUACUCGUGAUCUCAAACUGCCGAACCGGACGCAAUUACUCAAAACGAUCAGUUGGGUCGUUACAAAGUAUAAGGAAGGGUAUAUUUAAAUUUUUUCUUAUAGUACAAGGAUAUAUUUAACCCUUUGCCAUAAAGUUUUUCAACACAUCAACAUAAUUCUCCCAGCAUAUAUAACUGCACUAUAUAUGUGCUCUUUAACCUCCUCUUGGAACCUUUAUGAUGCUCUACUCUAAGGUAUGUUCCCAAAAUAUUUUACUACUUCUUCCGGUGCCAAAUAUUAGUUGUUUUGGCUAAUAAGAUUUAUUUUGAAAUAUAUGAUUUUUUUUUAAAAUCAAGAAGUCAAUUGUCACUUCUUUUCCAAGUCUAUCCUCAGUGCUCCAAUUAGAGAAUUGUAAAUUAAGUGGAUCUUUAUACUCUGUUUGGAUCAUUGUUACCCAUCAUUUUAUAAUUGUUAUGAAUAUGACGUUUGGAUAGAUUGUAGUAUUUGUUGUUGUUAAAUAAUAUUUUAUUGUUUGGUUUGACUAUAUCGUACUGUAUUGUAACUGAUAAGUUUAUUAAAAUACCCUCUAUUGUUUUAAAUAUUAAGCUUAUUAAGAAUUACGCAUAAAAAUAAUUUAAGAAAGCCCAUUUCGACUAAUUUAUCACCAAUUAUGUCUUAUAAAUAGAUUAAGCAAUAAAAUUCAUACAAAUUUAAGUGACGUUUAAUUCGACAAACAGAGCCACCAAUAUAAUAGAAUAUAUAUAUAUAUAUAUAUAUAUAUAUUUCAUUCAAUCAUUUCCUCUUGAAUGAUACAUGUAAACCAAAAGCCAAGAAUAAUAUGUCUACUAAGCCAUGAACCAAAAGAAAAAAUUUGUAAUGCUUGGAAAUGCACUGUAAGUAAUGAGUAUGCCUUCAAAAAAGUCAUUGUGUGUCACAUAUGUUCAAUAUUACCUAGGCCUGCAGAAUACAGUUCUCUACCAUGACUUUGUCAUGAGGUAUGUAAUAAAAAUAAGUCUGACUGAAGGCAAAAGGACCUCAGAAGUAUGAGCUCAGUUCGAAUAUUGUAUUUAGAUGGUCUCCAAACUUCAAAGAGUAAGAUGACUAUAGAAAAACUGCAAAUACUUUUCACGGCAAGAGUAUCGUUUUCUCCAUUAUCGUUAAUUUUGGACUAUAGGCAUGGGUUUCUCUGUUUCUUAUACCAACAAUGUCAUUUUAGGACUCUAACCAGCAGAAAUUAAAAUUAACCCCAGAAAACCAAAUCAAAUACUAGCAACUUUAGGGUUUAAAUACUACCCCCUUCCUUGAAAGAAUGAAAAAGAAAAGGAAAAAAAUACACACGCAUACAUAAAACUGAUAGAUCUGAAUGUACAAAACUAUACAUGCGCAACAACAGUAUAUUCAAUUCGAAAUUCUAACUACAAACACAUAAAUUCAAAACCCUAGCUACAAAAGCAUACGCACAUAAAUCAUCAUCAUUCAAGAAAUUCGAAAAAUACCAGAAAAAUAUUGAAAAUCAAGAAACUGAGGUCUAGAUCUGGAUUUGCUUACCUUUGAUCAUACAACCAUGAAGCAAGUUGAAGAGAUCCAGACACUGAGUUCAGAGCUCCUUCAGAGAUUCGACACAGUUCUUCUAACCUUUGAAGAUCAAAUUUCAAAGCUUUGAUUCUCGGCUCCUCUAAGAGAGGUUUGUUGCCCAUAGAGAGAUUUCAGAGCUUCGAUGUGUUUGAGAGUUCUAUAAGCUUCGAUGUGUUCUGUUUUUGACAAAAAACAAAUAAAAGUAGAAUAUAAAAAGACUUAUAAAGGACCUGGGCAAAUAGAAGAGGGAAAGUGGAGAGGGAAUUGAAAACCG